rnacentral:rRNA from 1 species
AGUGAACGCUGGCGGUAGGCCUAACACAUGCAAGUCGAACGGCAGCACAGUAAGAGCUUGCUCUUCCGGGUGGCGAGUGGCGGACGGGUGAGGAAUACAUCGGAAUCUACUUUUUCGUGGGGGAUAACGUAGGGAAACUUACGCUAAUACCGCAUACGACCUACGGGUGAAAGCAGGGGAUCUUCGGACCUUGCGCGAUUGAAUGAGCCGAUGUCGGAUUAGCUAGUUGGCGGGGUAAAGGCCCACCAAGGCGACGAUCCGUACCUGGUCUGAGAGGAUGGUCAGCCACCCUGGAACUGAGACACGGUCCAGACUCCUACGGGAGGCAGCAGUGGGGAAUAUUGGACAAUGGGCGCAAGCCUGAUCCAGCCAUACCGCGUGGGUGAAGAAGGCCUUCGGGUUGUAAAGCCCUUUUGUUGGGAAAGAAAAGCAGCAGGUUAAUACCCCGCUGUUCUGACGGUACCCAAAGAAUAAGCACCGGCUAACUUCGUG